rnacentral:rRNA from 1 species
UACGUAGGGGGCAAGCGUUGUCCGGAUUUAUUGGGCGUAAAGAGCGUGUAGGCGGCCAGACAGGUCCGUUGUGAAAACUCGAGGCUCAACCUCGAGACGUCGAUGGAAACCGUCGGGCUAGAGUCCGGGAAGAGGAGAGUGGAAUUCCUGGUGUAGCGGUGAAAUGCGCAGAGUAUCAGGAAGAACACCCGUGGCUAAGGCGGCUCCUCUGGGACGGUACUGACG